rnacentral:tRNA from 1 species
UGGGUUGUGGCUCAAUGUUAGAGCGUUUACCUACCAUGUGUGAGGCACUAGGUUCAAUUCUUAGCACUGCAU